rnacentral:rRNA from 1 species
AGUGAACGCUGGCGGCAUGCCUAACACAUGCAAGUCGAACGGCAGCACACUAAGAUUGUGCUCUUACGGGUGGCGAGUGGCGGACGGGUGAGGAGUACAUCGGAUUCUUCUUUUUCGUGGGGGACAACGUAGCGAAAUUUACGCUAAUAGCGCAUACGACGUACCGGUUAAAUCAGUAGAUCUUCGGACCUUUCGCGCUUGUAUUAGCUGGUUCCGGAUUAGCUAGUUGGGGGGGUAAAGGCCCGCCAAGGCGACGAUUCGUAGCUGGUCGGAGAGGAUGAUCGGCCACACUGGAACUGAGACACGGUCCAGACGCCUACGAGAGGCAGCAGUGGGGAAUAUUGGACAAUGGGCGCAAGCCUGACCCAGCCAUACCGCGUGGGUGAAGAAGGCCUUCGGGUUGUAAAGCCCUUUUGUGGGGAAAGAAAAGCAGCAGGUUAAUACCCCGCUGGUCUGACGGUACCGAAAGAAUAAGCACCGGCUAACUUCGUG